GACGAACGCUGGCGGCGUGCUUAACACAUGCAAGUCGAACGGAAAGGCCCUGCUUUUGUGGGGUGCUCGAGUGGCGAACGGGUGAGUAACACGUGAGUAACCUGCCCUUGACUUUGGGAUAACUUCAGGAAACUGGGGCUAAUACCGGAUAGGAGCUCCUGCUGCAUGGUGGGGGUUGGAAAGUUUCGGCGGUUGGGGAUGGACUCGCGGCUUAUCAGCUUGUUGGUGGGGUAGUGGCUUACCAAGGCUUUGACGGGUAGCCGGCCUGAGAGGGUGACCGGCCACAUUGGGAUUGAGAUACGGCCCAGACUCCUACGGGAGGCAGCAGUGGGGAAUAUUGCACAAUGGGCGGAAGCCUGAUGCAGCAACGCCGCGUGCGGGAUGACGGCCUCGGGUUGUAAACCGCUUUCGCCUGUGACGAAGCGUGAGUGACGGUAAUGGGUAAAGAAGCACCGGCUAACUACGUG
rnacentral:rRNA from 1 species